GAUGAACGCUAGCUGGAGGCUUAAUACAUGCAAGUCGAGCGGGAUUGGUAGCAAUACCAUGAGAGCGGCGCACGGGUGAGUAACGCGUACACGACCUACCUCUGACAGGGGGAUAGCCCUGGGAAACUGGGAUUAAUACCGCAUAUUAUUCUGAUUAAUAAAGGAUUGGAAUGAAAGUUCAGGCGGUCAGAGAUGGGUGUGCGUCUGAUUAGCUAGUUGGUGGGGUAACGGCCUACCAAGGCGAUGAUCAGUAGGGGGCGUGAGAGCGUGGUCCCCCACACGGGUACUGAGACACGGACCCGACUACUACGGGAGGCAGCAGUAAGGAAUAUUGGACAAUGGCCGCAAGGCUGAUCCAGCCAUCCAGCGUGCAGGAAGAAGGCCCUAUGGGUUGUAAACUGCUUUUAUCAGGGAAGAAACCUCUGGAUUUACUCCGGAGCUGACGGUACCUGAAGAAUAAGCACCGGCUAACUCCGUGCCAGCCGCCGCCGUAACAC
rnacentral:rRNA from 1 species